rnacentral:rRNA from 1 species
ACGGGUGAGUAAUGCAUAGGAAUCUGCCCGAUAGUGGGGGAUAACCUGGGGAAACCCAGGCUAAUACCGCAUACGUCCUACGGGAGAAAGGGGGCUCCGGCUCCCGCUAUGGGAUGAGCCUAUGUCGGAUUAGCUAGUUGGUGAGGUAACGGCUCACCAAGGCCACGAUCCGUAGCUGGUCUGAGAGGAUGAUCAGCCACAUCGGGACUGAGACACGGCCCGAACUCCUACGGGAGGCAGCAGUGGGGAAUAUUGGACAAUGGGGGCAACCCUGAUCCAGCCAUGCCGCGUGUGUGAAGAAGGCCCUCGGGUUGUAAAGCACUUUCAGCGAGGAAGAACGCCUAGCGGUUAAUACCCGCUAGGAAAGACAUCACUCGCAGAAGAAGCACCGGCUAACUCCGUGCCAGCAGCCGCGGUAAUACGGAGGGUGCAAGCGUUAAUCGGAAUUACUGGGCGUAAAGCGCGCGUAGGUGGCUUGAUAAGCCGGUUGUGAAAGCCCCGGGCUCAACCUGGGAACGGCAUCCGGAACUGUCAAGCUAGAGUGCAGGAGAGGAAGGUAGAAUUCCCGGUGUAGCGGUGAAAUGCGUAGAGAUCGGGAGGAAUACCAGUGGCGAAGGCGGCCUUCUGGACUGACACUGACACUGAGGUGCGAAAGCGUGGGUAGCAAACAGGAUUAGAUACCCUGUAGUCCACGCCGUAAACGAUGUCGACCAGCCGUUGGGUGCCUA